rnacentral:rRNA from 1 species
CGUGUAGGCGGCCAGAUAGGUCUGGUGUGAAAACUCGAGGCUCAACCUCGAGAGGUCACUGGAAACCAUUUGGCUAGAGUCCGGAAGAGGAGAGUGGAAUUCCUGGUGUAGCGGUGAAAUGCGCAGAUAUCAGGAAGAACACCUAUGGCGAAGGCAGCUCUCUGGGACGGUACUGACGCUGAGACGCGAAAGCGUGGGAGCAAACA